rnacentral:misc_RNA from 1 species
AAAACUAGACACAUACCAGGCGUGGGCAUUUCCUGCGCACACCCUGCAAGCCGCGCCUAAUACGGAGGAACACAUGCAGGCGUGCGCACGAAUACGACCUAAAACGUUCAACAACCAAACAGUAGGAAUCCUGCAGACCAAUUCGUCGCUGUUUCCUUUUAUUCCCUGCUGCUCUUGCGCGUCCAGCACCAACACAACUUCACUCAUCGCAUGGGUUCUGCUCAGCCAUGCCGUCACCCCUGUUGCACCGCGAACCGCAGCUGAUAUCCUCGCCUUCAUCGCGUGAGUGCCAAUGCCCCUUCCAAGGCGGCAGGAAGCUCCUGCCGUUGGCAGACCUGCGUCAUCAGCACGGCAAGGGUAACGAUGCUGGCGCUGGUGGUACCAAAGAGCUGUCCAGCCUUGGUGGGAGGAACGUUAGCACGGCGAAUGCAAGCUCCGCAGCGGCGAGUGCGUCGGGACUGCCGCGGUUGGCGGCGGUGGCUGCCGUUCCGCCAUCGCUUGAGCUGUUCCUGACUGCUUCUAGUGAAGCGGUUGAGACGGUGGUCGUGUGCGACAACGAGAGCACCCAGGCAAUGCACAGCGGCGCGGCCUUUCCUGCCGCCGCCGUCGCACCUGCCGCGGCAGCCCAGCCCCUAAAGUUUUUAGCCGUCAGCCCCUCCACCGCGCCCGUGUCGCUCGAGUCGUCCUCUUCAGCGGCUGCAUCGGCAUCCCUGAGCUGCUCCUCGAAACCGCUUAUCCGCUCUACGGCCAUGCCGACGGAAGAGGGUCGCAUCCUGCCACUACCAACCGCAGCAACUACCCUGGAAGAAGCGUAUCUCGAGAGCCGCGUAAGCUACCCGUACAAGGGUGCCGACGCGAUGGCCACCUUCGACCUCGCCAACCCUCCGCCCGCACCCUCCCUGCAUGUGGACUCGGCCGACCAAGGCGGAUCAGCAGCCACCACCACCGCACCUCUGCUUCGUCAGCAGGAAAGCCAAAUCUCCCUGUCCGGAAGCACGCCGAAAACACCUCCGAUUUGCCAAGAGCGACUCUCGCCAGCCGCAGGGGCGAUGAAGCCGACCAAUGUCCCAGUGGGCCCCUUCUCGUACCCCGCUGCCGCCCCCGUAGCAGAAGCAGCGGCAGCGGCAGCAGCGGCCACAACGUGCACAACAAGCACGACUGUCAAGGGCGUCGCCUCUUCCUCUGCCGCGCUCACUGCACACUCCGCCGACUACGGCAGGCGAACGAACAGCAUCGAUGGCACCCUGAGCCGCGAAGCCGGUGGGGCGGCGGCCUUUGAACGCGCGCCUCAGCAGCAGUCACCGUCGUGCCCCCUUCGCACAUCCGAGUCUUUCGCCACUGCUGCUGCCACACACCCUACGACCGCUGCCGUGCCGGGCUCACCCUCGGGCUCCUCGAAGAUGCAGCCGAGCUCGCUGCUCUCACGAAUGACAACGCCGGCAGCGGCUACUUCGCGAGCCUCUGCCGGCGUUGGAAAACGGGACGACAGCAGUGACAUUGACAGCACGCCACCUCGGCUGAUCACCUCAGUCGCGUCUUCACUGGUUGUGCCACUCGCGGUGUCGGAGACAUCGACAGAGAGAACGCGCAGCACCCCUGCAAGCUCCAUCGGCUCUCUCCGCGUCUACGGAGCGCCGCCGCCGCCCUUCCCUCGCGCACCAUCGAGCGCCACCAGAUCCGGCAGCCCAACGCCAUUCUCGCCCGUAGCGGUGACCGAAAGAACCGGGGUGGUCAUGGACGUGGUGGGCUACCUGGAGCGCGGGUACGACACACUGUGGCGCACCCUCGCGCGGUUUUUCGCGGCCGCGUUUCUCCCGCACAUUUUCUUGUGGCAUGCGGUUCCGGCCCUGAUUCCGCAGCCGGCGACGAGCGCCGCGGCGGAGGCAGCGGCCCCGCCACGAGUGCACCUGUACGCCGUGGCGUGCAACCACCCCGAGGUGGUCUUGUUCGCGCUGGAGCUGCUCGUUGCUGGCGUUAUGCUUUGGAGUCUCGUGCGCUACCUUCAGCUCAGCACUGUGCAGCGAUCUCGAAGGCACCACAGCCUCUACGGCGGCCUCCAUCGUAGCAGCACAUCACUUGCCGCGAGGCCCAGCAGCGCCGGCGUCGGUCAGGCAUCCGUGGCAGCGGCUCGGAUCGCUGCGGAGAGGUGCACGGCCCACCUUCCCACCACCACCGCCACCCCAAAGAAGUUCGUCGACAAUGCGGAGUCACCGUCGACGUCGAUUCAGAUGGCGGGCAUGCGACUCCUGUCAUCAGCGAGAGGGCUGCGUCUGCGGCCGCUGCGCAGCCCCAGCGCUGGCGGUAUCGGCAGCGGACUGAACAACUGCGGCGUCCCUGGCAGCAGCAACAGCGUGAGGAGCAGCGGCCAUGCGCAUCGCAUCUUCUCUCACUCCUCUGUGCCGCUGCUGCAUCUCCCGCUGAGGUCAUUCGGUGGGGUUCGGAGUGCGGUGGCGAUGGCAGCGCGUGCGGCGACCUCAGGGAGUGCGACACCUGUGCGAGAUCCCGUAACCGUCAGCUCCUGCCCUUCGGAGCGUGGCGGCAUCAUGCGCUGCUUCGGUGGCAGGAGUGUUAGCGACGGCAUAGUCAGCGGCUCGACGCUCAGCGGUCGCAGCAGUGCAUCGAGCGUAGCAACGCCUUCUCUAUCACCCUAUACGUUUAUGGGGCUUGCCACACCGGCAGCAGAAGUGAUGCAGUGUGGCUUUAGCGAUGCGCACGGGAUUGACAGUCUUCUUACCCCUGGUGAUGGUGGUGGUGGCGGUGCCAUCGCGACGUUGCCUACCCCUUUCAAGGCGGAGGAGAGCCGAGCUGGAGGGAGCCUGCUCCACGGCUAUCAUCCUCGCACAGCUCUGUGGGAUGUGCCUCGGUUGCAACAGCCAUCACGGGAGCUGCUCAGCGGCAGUGGUGCUGGCUGUCAAAGAGGGCUUCCAGCGUCGCCGCCGACGUCCAUGGAUUUACAUGCCUCUCCAUUCUCUGUGCUGAACUCAGCAGGGCACGCGUCACUGGCGCUGGCUGGACUCGCAGACCGCGACGGCACCCUGGCGAAGAGCACGAAUGGGACGGUCUCCAUACAGCCGUCCGUGGUGACGCCGGCUGCAGCGGCGGUCGCGGAAAGUGCGAUGCGCACCGACUCGCUCCUCCUCUCGUCCGGUGGAGCCGUUACGGCCGCUCUCGCGCCCUCAUCCCCCACCUUCGGGCGUGAUGGAUUCGUGCCUACGAUGACGUACUUCGGUAUCGGGCUCGGUUUUCUCGUCUGCACGGGCCUCGCCGUGUGGCGUCUCUCGGUGGACUACUACUUCGCACGGUACAGCUUCGCGCUUAGCACCAACGCCGCCUUGUGGUUCUGGCUGGUCCCGGUCUGCCUCUUGGGCAUCGCCGCGUACGUGGUGCUCUUGAUUGGCGGCCACACGCUGCGCUGGCGCGCGCUGCGGCAGCUGCAAGAGAGUAACGCACGCGGGUGCAGCAAAAAUGACGAGGAUCAGGAGGAGGCCGCCCGUCAAAGGGCGGCAGCGGCGGCGCUGUGUAGACUUCGCUGGAUGUCGUGGUGUUUUGCCUGCGUUCCAUACCCGAACCCGGACGUGGCGCUGUUCGUCGACCUGCCAGAGUCCGUUAUUAUGCGGCCAGACGCGACGGCCUUGUUGCCUAUAUUAACCAGUCGAGGCUCGAUGGUGGGUGCCUUCGCGGUCGACGAGUCUGACGCAGUACCUCCCGUGGUGCCGCGCACGCCCAAGAAAAGAGGCUUCUGUGACGGCGGUGACGAGACGGUGUACGAUAGCGAGGUCAGCGCUAGGGGGUCUGCUCUGCGGCAGCAGAGCGGUGUGCUGAAGGGGCUUAGCAAGGACAAGGAGGGAGAAGGAGUCUUUGUAACGAUCGAUGAUACGCUUGAGCCCGCAGACGACAUCCUGCGCGUGAAGCGGGAAGCACCAGAGCCGAGCACGCCGGUGCCUGACAUAUCCGGUGAUGUAGGAAGCCUCGCCGCAGCCACUGCGCUCGACAACUUUAAGACGGCGUCCCUGCGGGCCACCACCUCUGCCGCAGCGGCGGACGUCAGCGGUAGCCCGUGCAAGCCGUUGCUGCCGCCGUUGUUGCCACACCGGUCAUCUUCGAGGUUUUUUCCCACGGGGAUGGUGCGCUCCUUCCUUCUUGGCAGAAGCAACCUCAACAGUCGUGGCGCAUCAUCCAGUUUCGCGCCUUCCCAGUCGCUGUGGAGCUUCGGCCAGCGACCGCAGCGCGGAUGCGCUGUGGCGCACGUGUUUGCCGCCUCGCGCGCAUGGGUAGAGCACGCCGCUCGCGAGCUUCACAUCCCCGACUUUAUCAUGCGGCUGAGGCGUUCGUGCGGUCUGGCGCAACAGCGGCGAGUAGAACGGCGAUCGCGGCAGCGCACGCGCGUCGCCGCGCCGACGGCGUCAGUGGAGCGGCGGCUGCGGAUGUGGUGGUCCUGCGAGCGUGGCAGCCUGGAGCGCCUGGUCGCCUGGACGUACUUGAUCAUGUUGUUUCUCUUCUCCCAAGCUCUGCUGUCGCUCAUGUAUUUUACGUGGUCGUGGCGCAGCAUCGCCCGUGAGGCAGCGACGGCGACCAUGUACGCCACCGACACAGGGCGCGCCGCGAUGCCGGUACCGCCAUCCUUUGUGGUUUACGGCUGCACCAAAUGGCAGCGAAGCCUGCGGAACGCGCUCUGGGUCAUCCCACCCUUCUGCGUGAGUGGCGACGGCAGCGUCUCCUCACCGCGGCAGUCGACAACGUGGUCGAUGGCGAGUCAAGUCGCGCUGCUCUUCACGCUACUAGGUCAGCGCCGCUUUCAGGUGGCCUACCUGUACACGAAUGUCGCCCUCCCCAUCGGCUUUGUGAUCUCCCUGUGCAUUUUCGCGCAUGAGAUACGGCUUCAUAUUAAGUCGCGCCGUGUGCUACGGCUGCUCGCGCUUGCCAAGUCGCGGGUCGAGACGGCGCGCAAGGUGCGCGACGCGAUGCUGUGAGGCGGCCUCUCACCAGUGUCUGCGUGCGCGCUGUCUUUGCGCGGCAAGCAAGGAAAGGCGGAGGGGUGAUCGGCAAAGACAACGAUGAGGGGUUGAUGAGGGGUGUGUCACUCUCCGCGAUUUCAAGGGGGCAACGCCUCCAUCCACCACGUAUCCUCCUGCUCCUCUACCCACUUCAUCUCGAAGAAUCGGAGUCGUCGUCGGCCCUGCCCCUCGCUGCCCACCCACCACGACAGGGGGGAGGGCCCUCUUCGGCUGAUAAGAAGCAAGGCGGUCCGUAAGCCUACCCCGAUGGUGCGCUAUGUUAGCGAAGAAUGCCGUGAAAGCAGCACCCUUCUUAAUGGAUGGCGUUGGCACCGCUAGAGGUAGCGCCGUCGCGAGCGGCGGGAUACCCAUCGUGCUAUGGUCUUUCACGGGAACAGAAAGCUCGCAGGGCAGGUCGAGUGGGAGUGCGCAUGUGUGGGAGUGUAUCAUGUGUUGGAACCUGUCCCUCGUUCUCAGCCUUUGUCCCUCAUUUUCUCUGUUGCGGAUGUCAUAAUUCGUUUGCCUACGCGUGUGCGUGCGUGUGCCUUCGUCCAUUUACGAGUGCUCGCGUGUACGCCCUCCUUCCUCAUUUUUUCACUCUCCUCCUUUUCGCCUUUUCUCUCUCUGAGUGUGUGUGUGUCUUAUCUCUUUAAGCUCGCGAUGUGUUUUUUUUUUGGGGGGGUCUUCGUAGAUUCAAAUCCGUUAACCGCUCGCUGUUCUCUCGCAUCUCUGUCUCUGUCUCCCUGUCCCUACCUCUUGCCGCCACAUCUCCGUACCCUUUCUCUUUUCAUGGUAUCUUUCCACGACUCGCACGCGUGUGGAUGCGUCGCGCCGUGGAACAGUGUAACGAAGGUGCUGGGGCGCAGAAGAGAAGGGCAGGCAGAGACUCAUACAUGUUCCUCUAUAUACUGAUAAAUGCGUAUCAGUGCCCGUCGGCGCCUCAGAAAAGCGCGCAUUAACAACGCCCACACGAAGCCGCGCGCAAGGUAUCUGUAUAGAUCCUUUUCAUACCUGGAGGAACGGCUUCCGUGAGGCCUCCCAACUCCUCGCUGCAACGGACUGUCGCGCUGUGGAGACUGAACAGCUGUGC